ACAUGUGGACUUUCCGCUUUAUAAUCCAAAGAGUGAAGUCUGCAGCAAUUUAAUCUGAAAUCUGCAUCCACAUCCCCAUUUAGGAGUCGCUGAGCCUUCACAAAACUUCUGAUGUCAUAGCGAUAACGACAUAUCAAAGAUAUGUCGCUAUGACAUCUAAAAACAGCGACCCUUUAAGACAUGGGGACUUUGUGGUGGAUUUGUCCUUAGCAUAAAAUGAUGGUACGUGUGACGAUAAUCCAAAGGACACAAAACAUGAUGGCUACGCAGCGAUACAUCUCCCUUUAAUGUUUCUACAAUUGAGGCAGAGAAAGAUGGUGGUACCAUGACCAAUAAGACAUGCAUGUCAGAAGUCCAUCUCCAUCCAUCCUGACAUUGACUUGUCCACACAACCGGCAGGUAAAGAAAGAUUUCAGUAGAAAAUUCCUCACAAUCGCUGACAUUUCAUCAUUGGUCAUGGAUCACAGCUUGACUGAUGUCAUCAGAAUAAGUUUGAGACACCAGAUGGACAUUUCACACACCCCAGCCCUCAGCUGUAGAACAAGCAUAGCAUUAGGCUUCUGACAUCACCACCGCUCCACCAAUAAAUCUGUCUACUUUUUGUAAGAAUAUAUUUUUAAACAUUUUAAAAAGUUAAAUUGCGUUGAAAAUACUUUUCUUGUAGUUCUUUCAAAUGAGGCAUUUAAUGAAGAAAAAAAAAAUGGAAGACUCUGAAGAUGAAAAGAUGGGUGGCAGGGUAAGCGGUCA